rnacentral:lncRNA from 1 species
CGGCCUCCCAAAGUGCUGGGAUUACAGGCAUGAGCUACUGCUGCCCGCUGGAAUACUCUUUACCUCUACCAUAUCCUAGGUAGGGAAAUCCUAGUUGUUUAAGCUCUAUGAACCUCUGCUCUUCAUCAGCAAAAUUGAGAAAAUAAUAGUAGCUACUAAGAUCAUGUGAUAAUGAAUGUAUACAAUGCCUGGUCACUGGAAAUGUUCAAUAAUUAUUAACUCUUAUUAUUCUUACUCAUUCUUCAAGGCUGGCUGGAAUAUUACUUUCUCUGCUAAACACUGACACUUCCAGGCAUAUUAUUAUUAUUAUUUUUAAUUACUCCCUCCUCUGGUUCUCAUGGCUGAUUACUCAUACCUUUAUUAUAACAUGCACUACUUUUUAUUUUAAUGGCUUUUUACUCAUCCCUCUGGCCACUAGAUAUGACCUCCUCCUGGGCAAGAAGCAUGGGGGCACCUAUCUUUCUAUCACUUGGACCUGACAUUCAGUGGGUGUUGCAUAACUGGUGAGCAGAAUGGAAAUGAGAACACGGUAGCCAGCUGCCCUUCCCCUGGCUAUAGAUCUUACAGUUUUUAUCUAAAAAUAUGUUUAGAGCCACCGCGCCCGGCCGAGCAGGAAAUUCUUACCAGCCUCUUGGCAAAAACUGGAUUCCUGGAAUUUCACAGGAAAGAUAGAGCAACCACCUUCCCUGGGGGCUGCUUCUUGAUUGCCACUGGAGGUGGUAGGAAGUGACCUGGUAGGAAGCCAGCUGUGCCAUUCUGUUUGUGUAACAGCAUUACCAGUUAAUCCAUUGCUCUCUUGGUGAAACAUCAGUCACCAGUUUAACCUCAGUUCCAUUUCCUAUUCAGCCGUGAGAUUCCUGGGCUUUG